AAAAACUUGGGCGCGCCACAGAGAGACCACUCAGUUUGUGUAUAGCAGUCGCGCGUGUAGCUUCUAACUUGCCGCCAUUGACGGGAAACCGGGAUACGAAAAAGAGCUCCACUGUUGGUUGGCAGCUAGUUGGAGUUUGUGAAACUAUUCGAAGUCAGUGAAAAAGAAAUGAAUAAAGUUGCAUUCAGAGGAUGCUUGAAUAUUUUAAGGAAGUGACGAAUUUUCUAUUAGAAAAGUUUGGUAUAAAAACGCAUUUUUUAAAUAUUACCUACUGAAAAAACAACUUUAUAGGAAAUAAAGUGCAAAAUUAAAAAUGGCCAACGAAGUUCCUGCAAGCGGCAGUAUUUUAGGCAGUAAAAACCCGUAAAUUGAGAGAUCUACACUCUUACUCCAGCUCCGAAGAAGCUUUUUAUGGGAGAAGUUCACUCUGAGGUUUGCCAGUGUCUGCCGAGGGGCGACCGCUAUUUGAAA